rnacentral:tRNA from 1 species
UCCGAUAUGGUGUAACGGCUAACAUUGCUGCCUUUCAAGUGAUUUAUCACAAGCAUCGCAGCGGCUCGGGGUUCGAUUCCCCGUAUCGGAA